UUUGCUUCAAAUUUUAUUCUCACACAUUUUUAAUUUACAGAGAAGCUAUUGGAUCUAUUGACGCGUAUGAGAGUCCGAAAAUGGUCGGAUCGACAAAAAAAUAGAUUACCCACCUGGACAGAGUAGCGGCAUAAAAAAAUGAACCAAAAUACAAUCUUGGAAACGUUGACUUCGAAUUCUCGAUGAGACAAUCCACGGAAAUCACAGAGAAAGGGUGGUACGAAACCGAUGAGGGUGAACAAGACGAAACGGUGGAAACAAAAUGGAAAAAUAUUGGAGAAAUGGAGGGCAAAUAGAUAAAAAUUAAGGGUUGGAUUAAAAAUCCACUUUCGAGCAAACGCGUCACAGAAGUGUCCAAGCUACAUUCGGAAUGGGGGCGGUGACUGACGGGAAAAGAGAAACUGGAGGUGCGUAUCACCGUCUGGUCCGAAAUGAAUCCAGCUUUUAAGAAAGGGCAGCUAGUUGAAGUAAAGCAGGGAUAAUAAAAAACCACAACUACAUUUACCUACAAGUUGCGAAUGGUGCUACAAAUAAUCAACAUUACUGCGACUCCCCAAAAAAGGGUACGAAUGGAAUGAAAAAAAGUAAAGGGUUUCCGGGAGAAGCUGCAAGUUUUUGUUUACGUUUGUUGUCGUCGGC